rnacentral:rRNA from 1 species
UACAUAGGGGGCAAGCGUUAUCCGGAAUUACUGGGUGUAAAGGGUGCGUAGGCGGUUAUGUAAGUCAGAUGUGAAAACCCACUGCUCAACAGUGGGAAUGCAUUUGAAACUAUGUAACUAGAGUAUGGGAGAGGUAAGUGGAAUUCCUAGUGUAGCGGUAAAAUGCGUAGAUAUUAGGAAGAACACCAGCGGCGAAGGCGACUUACUGGACCAAAACUGACGCUGAGGCACGAAAGCGUGGGGAGCAAACAGG